AAACACUAGAGGGUGAAUGAGGAGUUAAUGUAAGCAGCAUCAUAUUUUUGCUCAUUCCUUUCUCUAUGAUUUCUGCUUCUUCUGUCCAAAUUCUGUGAGGUGUCCUCUAGAUGAAAUUAUCACAGGCAUGGAAAAGGUCAUUUUCCACUUGGUCCAUCCUCAUGAUUGCAGUUGUAACAUACUGGGACUCAUUCAUUUUCACAUAUGUAUAUGAGACUUAAAUCAUCCACAUUUCAGGCCAGGUUAAGUUUCUAGAAAUAUUCUAUGCUUUCCUUGCACUUACACUCAAUCCUGUCGUCUACAGCGUUGGCACUGACAGUGUUCUGGUGGCAAUGAAAAAUAUGCUCUAGAGCAACAUUCUACAUAAAAAAAAGAAUAGGAAAAUUCCUUUCACUUGUGUAUUCCCUCUAUUUCC
rnacentral:lncRNA from 1 species